AGUAUUGUCCUAUGGAGGCGACCCUGACCCAGUCAUGCCGCGUGUGUGCAGAAGGUCUUCGGAUUGUAAAGCACUUUAGGUUGGGAGGAAGGGCUUUAGGUUAAUACCCUGAAGUUUUGCCGUCACCAACAUAAUACGCACCGGCUAAUGCUGUGUCAGCAGCCGCGGUAAUACAGAGGGUGCAAGCGUUACUCGGAAUUACUGGGCGUAAAGCGCGCGUAGGUGGUUCAGUAAGAUGGGUGUGAAAUCCCCGGGAUUAAACUGGGAACUGCUUUCAUAACUGCUGAGCUAGAGUACGGUAGAGGGUAGUGGAAUUUCCUGUGUAGCGGUGAAAUGCGUAGAUAUAGGAAGGAACACCAGUGGCGAAGGCGACUACCUGGACUGAUACUGACACUGAGGUGCGAAAGCGUGGGGAGCAAAC
rnacentral:rRNA from 1 species